rnacentral:rRNA from 1 species
UUAGGAAUCUACCUAGUAGUGGGGGAUAGCUCGGGGAAACUCGAAUUAAUACCGCAUACGACCUACGGGAGAAAGGGGGCAGUUUACUGCUCUCGCUAUUAGAUGAGCCUAAGUCGGAUUAGCUAGAUGGUGGGGUAAAGGCCUACCAUGGCGACGAUCUGUAGCUGGUCUGAGAGGAUGAUCAGCCACACCGGGACUGAGACACGGCCCGGACUCCUACGGGAGGCAGCAGUGGGGAAUAUUGGACAAUGGGGGAAACCCUGAUCCAGCCAUGCCGCGUGUGUGAAGAAGGCCUUUUGGUUGUAAAGCACUUUAAGCAGUGAAGAAGACUCCGUGGUUAAUACCCACGGACGAUGACAUUAGCUGCAGAAUAAGCACCGGCUAACUCUGUGCCAGCAGCCGCGGUAAUACAGAGGGUGCAAGCGUUAAUCGGAAUUACUGGGCGUAAAGGGAGCGUAGGUGGCUCGAUAAGUCAGAUGUGAAAUCCCCGGGCUCAACCUGGGAACUGCAUCUGAUACUGUUGAGCUAGAGUAUGUGAGAGGAAGGUAGAAUUCCAGGUGUAGCGGUGAAAUGCGUAGAGAUCUGGAGGAAUACCGAUGGCGAAGGCAGCCUUCCGGCAUAAUACUGACACUGAGGCUCGAAAGCGUGGGUAGCAAACAGGAUUAGAUACCCUGGUAGUCCACGCCGUAAACGAUGUCUACUAGUCGUUGGGUCCCUUGAGGACUUAGUGACGCAGCUAACGCAAUAAGUAGACCGCCUGGGGAGUACGGCCGCAAGGUUAAAACUCAAAUGAAUUGACGGGGGCCCGCACAAGCGGUGGAGCAUGUGGUUUAAUUCGAUGCAACGCGAAGAACCUUACCUGGUCUUGACAUAUCUAGAAUCCUGCAGAGAUGCGGGAGUGCCUUCGGGAAUUAGAAUACAGGUGCUGCAUGGCUGUCGUUAGCUCGUGUCGUGAGAUGUUGGGUUAAGUCCCGCAACGAGCGCAACCCUUGUCCUUAGUUACCAGCGGGUUAAGCCGGGAACUCUAAGGAUACUGCCAGUGACAAACUGGAGGAAGGCGGGGACGACGUCAAGUCAUCAUGGCCCUUACGACCAGGGCUACACACGUGCUACAAUGGUAGGUACAGAGGGCAGCUACACAGCGAUGUGAUGCGAAUCUCAAAAAGCCUAUCGUAGUCCAGAUUGGAGUCUGCAACUCGACUCCAUGAAGUAGGAAUCGCUAGUAAUCGCGGAUCAGAAUGCCGCGGUGAAUACGUUCCCGGGCCUUGUACACACCGCCCGUA